UACGUAGGGGGGCGAGCGUUGUCCGGAGUACUGGGCGUAAAGCGCACGCAGGCGGUCUGCUAAGUUUGGAGUGACAGUUGGUGGCUUAACUGCCAAAGUGCUUCGAAAACUGACAGACUUGAGGGCUUCAGAGGGACACGGAAUUCCGGGUGGAGUGGUGAAAUGCGUAGAGAUCCGGAGGAACACCAAAGGCGAAAGCACUCUGCUGGGCCGACACUGACACUGAGAGACGAAAGCUAGGGGAGCGAAUGGG
rnacentral:rRNA from 1 species